rnacentral:rRNA from 1 species
UACGAAGGGUGCAAGCGUUACUCGGAAUUACUGGGCGUAAAGCGUGCGUAGGUGGUGGUUUAAGUCUGUUGUGAAAGCCCUGGGCUCAACCUGGGAAUUGCAGUGGAUACUGGAUCACUAGAGUGUGGUAGAGGAUAGUGGAAUUUCCGGUGUAGCAGUGAAAUGCGUAGAGAUCGGAAGGAACAUCUGUGGCGAAGGCGACUAUCUGGGCCAACACUGACACUGAGGCACGAAAGCGUGGGGAGCAAACAGG